rnacentral:rRNA from 1 species
UACGGGGGGGGCAAGCGUUGUUCGGAAUUACUGGGCGUAAAGGGCUCGUAAGCGGCCAACUAAGUCAGACGUGAAAUCCCCAGGCUUAACCUGGGAACUGCGUCUGAUACUGGAUGGCUUGAAUUCGGGAGAGGGAUGUGGAAUUCCAGGUGUAGCGGUGAAAUGCGCAGAUAUCAGGAGGAACACCAAUUGCGAAGGCAGCUCGCUGGGACGUUACUGACGCUGAGACGCGAAAGCGUGGGGAGCAAACAGG